rnacentral:tRNA from 1 species
GCACUCAUAGCUCAGCUGGAUAGAGCGCUGCCCUCCGAAGGCAGAGGUCUGAGGUUCGAAUCCUCAUGGGUGCGCCA